AUUGAACGCUGGCGGCAGGCUUAACACAUGCAAGUCGAGCGAGCGGCGGACGUGUGAGUAAUGUCUGGGAAACUGCCUGAUGGCGGGGGAUAACUACUGGAAACUGUAGCUUAUACCGCAUCCCAUAAGCUGGUCCCAGAUGGUUUUAGCUAGUAGUUGUGGUAAUGGCUCACCUAGGCGACUAUCCCUAGCUGGUCUGAGAGGAUGACCAGCCACACUGGAACUGAGACACGGUCCAGACUCCUACGGGAGGCAGCAGUGGGGAAUAUUGCACAAUGGGCGCAAGCCUGAUGCAGCCAUGCCGCGUGUGUGAAGAAGGCCUUCGGGUUGUAAAGCACUUUCAGCGAGGAGGCGUUACUCGCAGAAGAAGCACCGGCUAACUCCGUGCCAGCAGCCGCGGUAAUUC
rnacentral:rRNA from 1 species